GAGCAGCAGCGGCAGCCGCCCAUCACUACUACUGAUCACCUCCUCUUCAAUACAAUUUUGAGCACAACAAGAUGGCUGCCGCCUUCUCCUCCACCGUUGGAGCUCCGGCGUCCACUCCGACGACGUUCCUGGGGAAGAAGCUGAAGAAGCAGGUGACCUCGGCCAUGAACUACCAUGGGAAGAGCUCGAACGUGAACAGGUUCAGAGUGAUGGCAAAGGAGCUGGACGAGGGCAAGCAGACGGACCAGGACAAGUGGAAGGGCCUGGCCUACGACAUCUCCGACGACCAGCAGGACAUCACCAGGGGGAAGGGUCUCGUCGACUCCCUCUUCCAGGCUCCCACGGGCGACGGCACCCACGAGGCCGUCCUCAGCUCCUACGAGUACCUCAGCCAGGGUCUCAGAACCUACGACUUCGACAACACCAUGGGAGGGUUCUACAUCGCCCCGGCUUUCAUGGACAAGCUCGUCGUCCACAUCUCCAAGAACUUCAUGAGCCUGCCCAACAUCAAGGUCCCACUCAUCCUGGGUAUCUGGGGAGGCAAGGGUCAGGGAAAAUCCUUCCAGUGUGAGCUCGUCUUCGCCAAGAUGGGGAUCAACCCGAUCAUGAUGAGCGCCGGAGAGCUGGAGAGCGGCAACGCCGGAGAGCCGGCGAAGCUGAUCAGGCAGCGGUACCGUGAGGCGGCGGACAUCAUCAAGAAGGGGAAGAUGUGCUGCCUCUUCAUCAACGAUCUGGACGCAGGAGCCGGGCGGAUGGGCGGCACCACGCAGUACACGGUGAACAACCAGAUGGUGAACGCCACGCUGAUGAACAUCGCCGACAACCCCACCAACGUGCAGCUGCCGGGCAUGUACAACAAGGAGGAGAACCCGCGCGUCCCCAUCAUCGUCACCGGUAACGACUUCUCCACGCUGUACGCUCCCCUCAUCCGUGACGGGCGCAUGGAGAAGUUCUACUGGGCUCCCACCCGCGACGACCGCGUCGGAGUGUGCAAGGGUAUCUUCCGCACCGACAACGUCCCCGAGGACGACAUCGUCAAGGUCGUCGACACCUUCCCAGGCCAAUCCAUCGACUUCUUCGGCGCUCUCCGUGCCCGUGUUUACGACGACGAGGUGCGCAAGUGGGUGUCUGACACCGGAGUGGAGAACAUCGGCAAGAGGCUGGUGAACUCCAGGGAGGGCCCGCCGGAGUUCGAGCAGCCCAAGAUGACGAUCCAGAAGCUCCUAGAGUACGGCCAAAUGCUUGUCAGGGAGCAGGAGAACGUCAAGCGUGUGCAGCUGGCUGACAAGUACUUGAGUGAGGCUGCUCUUGGUGACGCCAACCAGGACGCCAUGAAGACUGGCUCCUUCUACGGUGCUGCGCCAUCCAGCUGAACAAACGAUCUCUAGCUAUUCUCGUACCAUCGAUCUCGUAGGCGGUCUGCAUAGGAGGAGGAGGGCAAGGAGCACAGCAAGCAGGUAACCUGCCUGUGCCGGAAGGUUGCACCGACCCUGGUGCCAAGAACUUCGACCCGACGGCGAGGAGCGACGACGGCAGCUGCCUCUACACCUUCUAAGCAGGCCUCUUGCUAUAUAUUAAUUAUCUCUCUCUUUGUGUUAAUUUUCUCUUUGUACUACAUGUAUCAGAUCGCGCCCAAGCCAUAGCUGGGCAGGACAAGUUUUUGUUAAUAAUAAUAUAAUAUAAAAGAUAUUCCCUACACUACACUACAUGCAAGAUUUUCAUUUUGGUAAA